CCAAGUGCAUGGCAGGAAAUGGUGCCAGGAGUGAAAAAGUGAGGCUGAACACCAGCGAAAAGCAGAUAGUGGGGCUCCUGUGAGACUGUAGUGCUAAAGGUAGUUUGGAGGGAGCAGCUGUGAGAGCUGGAAACUUGUCAAGGCAGCAAAGGGCUCUAAACCAGGUGAAGGACAAACUCCCAAGGAUUUCACUGAAAGCAAAGUUAAGAUCAUCCAGCAUUCCAAUUAGGCAAGCAUGUGAGCAACACCUGCUGUAUGUUCACAGAUCCACAGUCUCAUCUGGAUUUUUCUUUGGUAGACAAAACAGGAUCAGGCCAUGCUGGGAGAGAAAUGGUUUUAGGAAUGCAAGAUGCUGGUGGCAGCUGCAUGGUCUUCCCAGCACAAGAAUGCCACCCUCAGAUGUAGCUGGAUUUGCAGAAGCAGUAAGCGUGCUGGUGCCAAAGGACUGAUGCUAUUACCUCAUGAUCACAGCUCACAAAGAAUAAAUUGAAAUAUUACAGUUGAAA